UCGAGGAUCUUUGGCAAUGAGCGCAAGCUUGACCAAGCGACGCCGCGUGUGCGAUGAAGGCCUUCGGGUUGUAAAGCACUGUCGAGGGGGACGAAGCCGAAAGGUUGACCGAUCCCUGGAGGAAGCACGGGCUAAGUUCGUGCCAGCAGCCGCGGUAAGACGAACCGUGCGAACGUUGUUCGGAAUCACUGGGCUUAAAGGGCGCGUAGGCGGCUCAUCAAGUCAGGGGUGAAAUCCUCCAGCUUAACUGGAGAAGUGCCUUUGAUACUGAUGGGCUCGAGGGAGGUAGGGGCAUGUGGAACUUCUGGUGGAGCGGUGAAAUGCGUUGAUAUCAGAAGGAACGCCGGUGGCGAAAGCGACGUGCUGGACCUCUUCUGACGCUGAGGCGCGAAAGCUAGGGGAGCAAACGGGAUUAGAUACCCCCGUAGUCC
rnacentral:rRNA from 1 species